GUAAGAUCCCUGAAAGAUGAUCAGGUUGAUAGGUCAGAGGUGGAAGCAUGGUGACAUGUGGAGCUGACUGAUACUAAUAGAUCGAGGACUUAACCUA
rnacentral:rRNA from 1 species